rnacentral:rRNA from 1 species
GAUGAACGCUGGCGGCGCGCCUAACACAUGCAAGUCGAACGAGUGGCGAACGGGUGAGUAACACGUGACCAACCCGCCCCCCCCACCGGGACAACCUCGGGAAACCGAGGCUAAUACCGGAUAGGAGGGGACGGGGCCGCGGCCCAUCAGGUAGACGGCGGGGCGAAGGCCCGCCGUGCCGAGGAAGGGUCGCCGGGCUGAGAGGCCGAGCGGCCACAUGGGGACUGAGAAACGGCCCAGACGCCGACGGGAGGCAGCAGGGGGGAAUAUUGCGCAAUGGGGGAGACCCUGACGCAGCGACGCAGUGUGCGGGAAGGAGGCCUUCGGGUCGUAAACCGCUUUCAGCAGGGAAGCGGUACCUGCAGAAGAAGCCCCGGCUAACUACGUGCCAGCAGCCGCGGUAAUUC